GAUGAAGAACGCAGCGAAAUGCGAUAAGUAAUGUGAAUUGCAGAAUUCAGUGAAUCAUCGGAUCUUUGAACGCACAUUGCGCCCGCCAGUAUUCUGGCGGGCAUGCCUGUUCGAGCGUCAUUUCAACCAUCAAGCCCCCGGGCUUGUGUUGGGGACCUGCGGCUGCCGCAGGCCCUGAAAAGCAGUGGCGGGCUCGCUGUCACACCGAGCGUAGUAGAUUUUAUCUCGCUCUGGGCGUGCUGCGGGUUCCGGCCGUUAAACCACCCUUUUAACCCAAGGUUGACCUCGGAUCAGGUAGGAAGACCCGCUGAACUUAAGCAUAUCAAUAAGCGGAGGA
rnacentral:misc_RNA from 1 species